rnacentral:rRNA from 1 species
UACGAGGGGGGCAAAUGUUGUUCGGAAUCACUGGGCGUAAAGGGAGCGUAGGCGGGUUCUUAAGUUAGGUGUUUAAUCCCGGGGCCCAACCCCGGACAGGCACUUGAAACUGGGAAUCUUGAAUAGUGGAGAGGUCAGUGGAAUUGGGGGUGUAGCGGUGGAAUGCGUAGAGAUCCCCAAGAACACCAGUUGCGAAGGCGGCUGACUGGACACAUAUUGACGCUGAGGCUCGAAAGCAUGGGGAGCAAACAGG